CCUGGCGGCUGUAGCGCGGUGGUCCCACCUGACCCCAUGCCGAACUCAGAAGUGAAACGCCGUAGCGCCGAUGGUAGUGUGGGGUCUCCUUUCCCUUCAGGCGGGAUUCAUACAGCGGCCAGCC
rnacentral:rRNA from 1 species